GAUUGGUCCAGUUAGGAAGCAAAGAUUAAUUGGAUUUUUAUGCGUCUUCUCAGGCCUUUUGAGGGGACAACCGGAUUCUUUAUUUUGUUGUCCCCCAAGCAGCCUAAGACAUUU